AUUGAACGCUGGCGGCAGGCUUAACACAUGCAAGUCGAGCGGAGUGAUGGUGCUUGCACUAUCACUUAGCGGCGGACGGGUGAGUAAUGCUUAGGAAUCUGCCAUUUAGUGGGGGACAACAUUCCGAAAGGAAUGCUAAUACCGCAUACGUCCUACGGGAGAAAGCAGGGGAUCUUCGGACCUUGCGCUAAAUGAUGAGCCUAAGUCGGAUUAGCUAGUUGGUGGGGUAAAGGCCUACCAAGGCGACGAUCUGUAGCGGGUCUGAGAGGAUGAUCCGCCACACUGGGACUGAGACACGGCCCAGACUCCUACGGGAGGCAGCAGUGGGGAAUAUUGGACAAUGGGCGGAAGCCCGAUCCAGCCAUGCCGCGUGUGUGAAGAAGGCCUUUUGGUUGUAAAGCACUUUAAGCGAGGAGGAGGCUACUAGUACUAAUACUACUGGAUAGUGGACGUUACUCGCAGAAUAAGCACCGGCUAACUCUGUGCCAGCCGCCGCUGUAAAAC
rnacentral:rRNA from 1 species